rnacentral:lncRNA from 1 species
UUUUUAUUCAUUCAACCCUUUUAAUAAAAAUCUACUUUUUAAAUUUGUUGAAUCCUUUGUUCUUUGGAACAUCGUAAUGCUACGAGAGUGAUCUCCGUAAGCACGGUCUUGUUCACUAGUGGGGCUGCCUCUCACGGACUAAGACCAACCCAGCAAGUAUCUGGCCUUCCGCAGCCUUAUACUGAAGAACCAUCGAUCCACCUUUCCUUUAAUCCAUCUUUGGGUCAAAGCUUAUCCUUUUCACCAACCUUCGAGUGCAUUCCUUGGGAGAUUUUCUAUUAUUUGGUAUCAGAGCACACUUGAGGGUUCGGUGUUAACUUAUGUCAUUCAUCAUUCUCAUCUUUCCAUCUUCUACAAAAAAAAAAAAAAAAAUCCACGAGAAAACAAGAGAUCAUUCCAUCUGAAGUUAAACCGAGACUGCUCCUCCAUCUCUCGUAAUGGCUCUAGGAGAUUGCUUCUCCAAAAGCAACCUGUUUUGAUCACUAGUGGGGCUGCCUCUCACGGUCACAGGUUCUAAACAUUAAGUCGGAUUUGAGGGCAAAUCCUUUUGAAGGAGGAGGGGAUGAUGUGACCUUGUUCAGGAACAAGCAAAUCAAGAGAAGUCCAAAAAAAAGAAAGGCUCACCAAGAGAAUACAAGCCAAUGUCGUAUAAUAUAUCAAUCUGACGGCAAUUCAGAGACCGUCGAUCAUGCAAAAGGAUGCGACCAGCCAAGGAAUUCUGCGAACACAAUUUCCAAAAUUCAGUCAACAGUCUUGGUCUUUGGUCAAGUCAAUAUUCCUAGUCAAGUCUUCAUAGUUUUAAGAGCUUUAUAGUUUCAAAGAUUGACUAGAUUAUUUAAUUUUACAGAUUGCCUAUUAUAUAAAGGUUUGCUUUGUAUUGUUUUUAUUCAUUCAACCCUUUUAAUAAAAAUCUACUUUUUAAAUUUGUUGAAUCCUUUGUUCUUUGGAACAUCGUAAUGCUACGAGAGUGAUCUCUGUAAGCACGGUCUUGUUCACUAGUGGGGCUGCCUCUCACGGACUAAGACCAACCCAGCAAGUAUCUGGCCUUCCGCAGCCUUAUACUGAAGAACCAUCGAUCCACCUUUCCUUUAAUCCAUCUUUGGGUCAAAGCUUAUCCUUUUCACCAACCUUCGAGUGCAUUCCUUGGGAUAUUUUCUAUUAUUGAUGAUGUGACCUUGUUCAGGAACAAGCAAAUCAAGAGAAGUCCAAAAAAAAGAAAUGCUCACCAAGAGAAUACAAGCCAAUGUCGUAUAAUAUAUCAAUCUGACGGCAAUUCAGAGACCGUCGAUCAUGCAAAAGGAUGCGACCAGCCAAGGAAUUCUGCGAACACAAUUUCCAAAAUUCAGUCAACAGUCUUGGUCUUUGGUCAAGUCAAUAUUCCUAGUCAAGUCUUCAUAGUUUUAAGAGCUUUAUAGUUUCAAGGAUUGACUAGAUUAUUUAAUUUUACAGAUUGCCUAUUAUAUAAAGGUUUGCUUUGUAUUGUUUUUAUUCAUUCAACCCUUUUAAUAAAAAUCUACUUUUUAAAUUUGUUGAAUCCUUUGUUCUUUGGAACAUCGUAAUGCUACGAGAGUGAUCUCUGUAAGCACGGUCUUGUUCACUAGUGGGGCUGCCUCUCACGGACUAAGACCAACCCAGCAAGUAUCUGGCCUUCCGCAGCCUUAUACUGAAGAACCAUCGAUCCACCUUUCCUUUAAUCCAUCUUUGGGUCAAAGCUUAUCCUUUUCACCAACCUUCGAGUGCAUUCCUUGGGAUAUUUUCUAUUAUUUGGUAUCAGAGCACACUUGAGGGUUCGGUGUUCACUUCUGUCAUUCAUCAUUCUCAUCUUUCCAUCUUCUACAAAAAAAAAAAAAAAAAAAAUCCACGAGAAAACAAGAGAUCAUUCCAUCUGAAGUUAAACCGAGACUGCUCCUCCAUCUCUCGUAAUGGCUCUAGGAGAUUGCUUCUCCAAAAGCAACCUGUUUUGAUCACUAGUGGGGCUGCCUCUCACGGUCACAGGUUCUAAACAUUAAGUCGGAUUUGAGGGCAAAUCCUUUUGAAGGAGGAGGGGAUGAUGUGAC